CGAUAAGACCAAGAAGCUGACGCCAUGGUAUGGGCUGAGCGUCCCCCUGAGGUGACCAUGAGCGAUAUUUACAGCCAGUAUGCAUGUGGUAUGCUGGACAAUGGAGGUAGCUUGGACGCUAAGUACAAAGGUUGCAAGGUGAGUUUUUCCUCAGGAAGUUGUUGCUCUGGGCUGACAGAUUCUG